rnacentral:rRNA from 1 species
UUCGGCUGGCCGGAACACAGGUGCUGCAUGGCUGUCGUCAGCUCGUGUCGUGAGAUGUUGGGUUAAGUCCCGCAACGAGCGCAACCCUCGCCCCUAGUUGCCAUCAUUCAGUUGGGAACUCUAGGGGACUGCCGGUGAUAAGCCGCGAGGAAGGUGGGGAUGACGUCAAGUCCUCAUGGCCCUUACAGGCUGGGCUACACACGUGCUACAAUGGCGGUGACAAUGGGCAGCGAAAGGGCGACCUCGAGCUAAUCCCAAAAAGCCGUCUCAGUUCAGAUUGCACUCUGCAACUCGGGUGCAUGAAGGUGGAAUCGCUAGUAAUCGUGGAUCAGCAUGCCACGGUGAAUACGUUCCCGGGCCUUGUACACACCGCCCGUCACACCAUGGGAGUUGGGUUUACCCGAAGGCGUCGCGCUAACCGCAAGGAGGCAGGCGACCACG